rnacentral:rRNA from 1 species
GCCAGACUCCUACGGGAGGCAGCAGUGGGGGAUAUUGCACAAUGGGGGGAACCCUGAUGCAGCGACGCCGCGUGGGUGAAGGAGCGUUUCGGCGCGUAAAGCCCUCUCGGCAGGGAAGAAGGAGGACGGUACCUGACUAAGAAGCCCCGGCUAACUACGUGCCAGCAGCCGCGGUAAUACGUAGGGGGCAAGCGUUAUCCGGAUUUACUGGGUGUAAAGGGGGCGCAGACGGCAGCGCAAGCCAGGAGUGAAAGCCCGGGGCCCAACCCCGGGACUGCUCUUGGAACUGCGCGGCUGGAGUGCAGGAGGGGCAGGCGGAAUUCCUGGUGUAGCGGUGAAAUGCGUAGAUAUCAGGAGGAACACCGGUGGCGAAGGCGGCCUGCUGGACUGCGACUGACGUUGAGGCCCGAAAGCGUGGGGAGCAAACAGGAUUAGAUACCCCCGUACC